CAGGCCUAACAAUGCAAGUCGAACGAGAAAAUCUCGCUUGCGGGAUGAGUAAAGUGGCGCCGGGUGAGUAACACGUGGAUAAUCUACCUCUUAGUGGGGGAUAACUCCGGAAAGCGGGGCUAAUACCUCAUAAUAUUAUUUUCUCCUUGGAGAAGUUAUCAAAGGUGGCCUCUGUUUUAAGCUACCGCUAAGAGAUGAGUCCGCGGUCAUUAGUUUGUUGGUAAGGUAAUGGCUUACCAAGACGACGAUGGGUAGCGGUCUGAGAGGAUGACCAGCCACACUGGAACUGAGACACGGUCCAGACUCUACGGGAGGCAGCAGUGAGGAAUCUUGCGCAAUGGGGGAAACCCUGACCAGCAACGCCGUGUGAGUGAUGAAGGCUUUCGGGUCGUAAAGCUCUGUUGGUGGGAAGAAAAGUGCUUGACCAAUAAUCAAGUCUCUUGACGGUACCACGGAGGAAGCACCGGCCACUCCGUGCCAGCAGCCG
rnacentral:rRNA from 1 species